rnacentral:misc_RNA from 1 species
UUUUUGUACGCAACUGUAGUUUAAUUAUAGUCUUCGCCGUCGGACCUACAUCCUUAGCUAGUUUAUUCGUUACUAAAAAAUCAUCAAUAUUGCGAAUUUUUUGGCUUAGUUGCUUUUCUAAUUGCUUGCGUACAUAUGAAUAUUUACUUUGUACACAUUUUGCUCUCUUUUCCAAUCGCUUUAUCUUUAUCUGUAAAAGAUUUAUUUUUUUUGUUAAGGAAUCAACCAAUAUUUUACAUUCUUUGGAGCAUCGAAAAUCUUUUUUUGAUACAAGUGAAACAACUGUCACAUUUUCGCAAGAUUUUUAUCACAGAUUUCUCUUGGACUUGGUACUUGUUCUUGAAGCUUCUGCACUUCUACUGUUACUUGUGUGGAAUUCCCUGAUUCUUGCGGUUCAACAAUCGCCUGUGUCUGCCCAUGGGGCGUCGAUAUUUCCUUCCAAUGGAUUGGAUCACGAUUCCGAAGCAAACGCUUUUUCGUUCCGUCGCAAAAAUCUUCCUCUCGGAAAUGAAGAUCGCAAAGUCCUGCAGUCCUGAUCGUGGAGGUCGAUAAGAAUCGAAGCCAACUAUUUCCUGCGUGAAUUUUAGUAGUGUUGAAUUCUGGAUGCAUAAUUUUCGCGAAAAGCUAUAAAUUUAUUUUACGAACAUCUUAAUAUAAUAGACAGUCAUAUAAUUUAAUAUAUGUGACAGUUAAAUAGCAAAGCGCGACAGUUUUUUCUAUUACGGCAUUGCACGCAAUAUGACCAUCCUUUAAGCAACUUUUAUUCGCAGUAAAUUGUUAACUUAAUUUUAGGACACGGAAACUAAAACUCUGACUUAAAUCUUUAACUAAAAUUCCUCUCAGUCCUUAGAACAAAUUAUUAUUAUUUAUAUUUAUGAUUAAACAGUGAGUAAUUUCUUAAUGCCGUGUAAAAUUAUUAUUUAAACAAAGUGGAAAAGGGGUAUAUAAGGAUAAUGGUUACUGCAGAGAGAGAGAGAGAGAGAGAGAGAGAUUGGAGAGGAUAAGAGUAUCCAGAUACAAUGAAGAAUACAGGAGGAGACUGGUACAGACAAAUUGCCAGAAUAUCUGAAGGACUUGAGAAAGAAGAAGGAAACAUUCUUAGUUACAAGAUUUAUACAUAUUGGGUUUAAGUUUGGAUCGGAUUUCUCAAUCCGACUGCCGCGAACAGCGCUUGUGUAGAAUACAUGUAAAAAUGAUUAUCGUAAAAUAAUAUCAAUUAUUCAUCCGCCUAUUAUUUUCAUAAUUAAUUUGUUAUUAUCUCAAGCGCGUGUUGCGGAUCAUCGCAAGGCGUCCGGAUUGA